rnacentral:tRNA from 1 species
CAAGAAAUAGUUUAAUGAAGAAUACUAGCUUUGGGAGUUAGCGGUGGGGGUUGGAGUCCCCUUUUUUUGA